rnacentral:misc_RNA from 1 species
UCAUUAUCAUUAUAAAUUCAAGAUGGCCGCCGCUACAAAAUGGCGGAUAAUUUAUGUUUUAUUAAUCCCAUCAAUAUGGGUAUCAAAUAAAAGGGCUCAACAAGCAGAAUACAAUAUACUAAAAAAAAUUGAAAUCCAUGAUGGCGGCCGCUACAAAAUGGCGGAUAACGUAGGUUUUAUCGAUCCCAUCAAUAUGGGUAUCAAAUGAAAGUGCUCAACAAGUAGAAUACAAUUUACUAUGCAAAAUUGAAAUCUAAGCUGGCC